rnacentral:rRNA from 1 species
GGUAAGGGAAGUCGGCAAAUUAGAUCCGUAACUUCGGGAUAAGGAUUGGCUCUGAAGAUUGAGAUAGUCGGGCUUGAUUGGGAAGCAAUAAUAUGGCUUAUGUACUCGUUCUGGGUAAAUUAGAAUGAAAUUUAUAUUUUUUAUGUAAAUGGAAUUUGUUCCCCGGAUAGUAGCUUACGUAACCAAUUGCGGAACUUUCUUGCUAAUAAUAUAAUUAAAAAUUAAAAUGAAAAUUUGAAGUUUUUAUAUAUUUAUAACGGCUAUCAAUUAACAAUCAAUUCAGAACUGGCACGGACUUGGGGAAUCCGACUGUCUAAUUAAAACAAAGCAUUGUGAUGGCCCUAACGGGUGUUGACACAAUGUGAUUUCUGCCCAGUGCUCUGAAUGUCAAAGUGAAGAAAUUCAAGUAAGCGCGGGUAAACGGCGGGAGUACCUAUGACUCUCCUUAAGGGAACCAAAUAGCCUCGUCAUCUAAUUAGUGACGCGCAUGAGAUGGAUUAACGAAGAUUCCUACGGUCCCAACCACCAACUAGCCGAAACCACAGCCAAGGGAACGGGCUUGGAAUAAUCAUUGGGGAAAGAAGACCCUGUUGAGCUUGACAAUAGUCUGGCAUUGUAAGGAGACAUAAGAGGUGUAGCAUAAGUGGGAGAUUUUAAAAUAUUUUUUUUAAAUUUUUUAUUAUCAAAAAUGAAAUACCACUACUUUUAUUGUUUCCUUACUUACUUGAUAAAAUGGAACGUGUAACAUUUACAUAGCCAUUAUAUGGAUAUUAAUUUAUAUUUAUUUAAAUAUACUUAUAUUUUAUGGUAUUUUGUAUUGUUACAAGUUUCUUGAUAAAAGUGCGUCGAGUUUGUUAUAUACACCAAACAAAUUUUCAAUAAAUUUUUUAUAUAUUAAUUUCUUAGAGAUUUUAUUUAUAAAAUAAUUUAAUUGAGAUUUGGUAUGACAGUUAUGCUCCUGCAUGAUCCAUUUCAAGGACAUUGCUAGGUAGAUUGUUCGACUGGGGCGGUACAUCUCUCAAAUAAUAACGGAGGUGUCCCAAGGCCAGCUCAGUGCGGACAGAAACCACACAUAGAGCAAAAGGGCAAAUGCUGACUUGAUCUCGGUAUUCAGUACAUACAGAGACAGCAAAAGCUCGGCCUAUCGAUCCUUUUGGUUUAAAGAGUUUUUAACAAGAGGUGUCAGAAAAGUUACCACAGGGAUAACUG